AACGAACGCUGGCGGCAUGCCUAACACAUGCAAGUCGAACGAGACCUUCGGGUCUAGUGGCGCACGGGUGCGUAACGCGUGGGAACCUGCCCUUAGGUUCGGAAUAACUCCCCGAAAGGGGUGCUAAUACCGGAUAAUGUCUUCGGACCAAAGAUUUAUCGCCUUUGGAUGGGCCCGCGUUGGAUUAGCUAGUUGGUAGGGUAAAAGCCUACCAAGGCGACGAUCCAUAGCUGGUCUGAGAGGAUGAUCAGCCACACUGGGACUGAGACACGGCCCAGACUCCUCGGGGGGGAGGGAGGGGGAAGUAUUGGAAAGGGGGGAAAGGCCAGAACGAGCUAUGCGGGGUGAGAAAUGAAGCCUUGGGGGUUGAAAAGUUUUUUAACCCGGAGUGAUAAUGACGUUCCGGGAAAAAAAAGCUCCGGCUAACUCCGUG
rnacentral:rRNA from 1 species